rnacentral:rRNA from 1 species
AUUGAACGCUGGCGGCAUGCCUAAUACAUGCAAGUCGAGCGAGCGGCGGACGGGUGAGUAAUGUAUGGGGACUUCCCUAUAAAGGUGGAAUACCACUGGAAACGGUAGCCAAUACCGGAUACUAUCGGAUAACUCAUUUGGGAUUAGCUAGUGGGGAAGGUAAUGGCUUACCUAGGCGACGAUCCCUAGCUGGUCUGAGAGGGUGAUCGGCCAACCUGGAACUGAGACACGGCCCAGACUCCUACGGAGGCAGCGGUGGGGAAUAUUGCGCAAUGGGCGAAAGCCUGAUGCAGCAAUGCCGCGUGUGUGAGGAAGGCCCUAGGGUUGUAAAGUACUUUCAGUCGGGAGGCGUUACCUACUCAGAAAGCACCGGCUAACUCCGUGCCAGCAGCCGCGGUAAUUC